GAUGAACGCUGGCGGCGUGCCUAAUACAUGCAAGUCGAGCGAACGGACGAGAAGCUUGCUUCUCUGAUGUUAGCGGCGGACGGGUGAGUAACACGUGGAUAACCUACCUAUAAGACUGGGAUAACUUCGGGAAACCGGAGCUAAUACCGGAUAAUAUCUUGAACCGCAUGGUUCAAAAGUGAAAGACGGUCUUGCUGGCACUUAUAGAUGGAUCCGCGCUGCAUUAGCUAGUUGGUAAGGUAACGGCUUACCAAGGCAACGAUGCAUAGCCGACCUGAGAGGGUGAUCGGCCACACUGGAACGGAGACACGGUCCAGACUACUACGGGAGGCAGCAGUAGGGAAUCUUCCGCAAUGGGCGAAAGCCUGACGGAGCAAGGCCGCGUGGGUGAUGAAGGUCUUCGGAUCGUAAAACUCUGUUAUUAGGGAAGAACAUAUGUGUAAGUAACUGUGCACAUCUUGACGGUACCUAAUCAGAAAGCCACGGCUAACUACGUG
rnacentral:rRNA from 1 species